GACGAACGCUGGCGGCGUGCUUAACACAUGCAAGUCGAACGGUAAGGCCCUUCGGGGUACACGAGUGGCGAACGGGUGAGUAACACGUGAGCAAUCUGCCCCUGACUCUGGGAUAAGCGCUGGAAACGGCGUCUAAUACUGGAUAUGUCCCGUCACCGCAUGGUGUGCGGGUGGAAAGAUUUUUCGGUUGGGGAUGGGCUCGCGGCCUAUCAGCUUGUUGGUGAGGUAAUGGCUCACCAAGGCGUCGACGGGUAGCCGGCCUGAGAGGGUGACCGGCCACACUGGGACUGAGACACGGCCCAGACUCCUACGGGAGGCAGCAGUGGGGAAUAUUGCACAAUGGGCGCAAGCCUGAUGCAGCAACGCCGCGUGAGGGAUGACGGCCUUCGGGUUGUAAACCUCUUUUAGUAGGGAAGAAGCGAAAGUGACGGUACCUGCAGAAAAAGCACCGGCUAACUACGUGCCAGCCGCCGCCGUAA
rnacentral:rRNA from 1 species